rnacentral:lncRNA from 1 species
GUAUGAGGUAUCCCUUUUAUUACAUGAUCAAAAAUGUUUUAUAAUGUUCAUGAAAGCCAACUCAUCUCAUGUUGUAUCGCCCGUUGGGGCAUUGAUGAGAUCCCACAGAGGGAUCACGAUUAUGAUCAUGACUAUGUACAUGUAUGUUCAGGUUGAGUUGGAUGUUUGAAGGAAAAGUUUUAAAAUUUUUAUGUAUGUUGUUGAUCAUGUAUGGGAUUAAACAGGUU